GACGAACGCUGGCGGCGUGCUUAACACAUGCAAGUCGAACGGAAAGGCCCUGCUUUUGUGGGGUGCUCGAGUGGCGAACGGGUGAGUAACACGUGAGUAACCUGCCCUUGACUUUGGGAUAACUUCAGGAAACUGGGGCUAAUACCGGAUAGGAGCUCCUGCUGCAUGGUGGGGGUUGGAAAGUUUCGGCGGCUGGGGAUGGACUCGCGGCUUAUCAGCUUGUUGGUGGGGUAGUGGCUUACCAAGGCUUUGACGGGUAGCCGGCCUGAGAGGGUGACCGGCCACAUUGGGACUGAGAUACGGCCCAGACUCCUACGGGAGGCAGCAGUGGGGAAUAUUGCACAAUGGGCGGAAGCCUGAUGCAGCAACGCCGCGUGCGGGAUGACGGCCUUCGGGUUGUAAACCGCUUUCGCCUGUGACGAAGCGUGAGUGACGGUAAUGGGUAAAGAAGCACCGGCUAACUACGUGCCAGCAGCCGCGGUGAUACGUAUGGUGCGAGCGUUGUCCGGAUUUAUUGGGCGUAAAGGGCUCGUAGGUGGUUGAUCGCGUCGGAAGUGUAAUCUUGGGGCUUAACCCUGAGCGUGCUUUCGAUACGGGUUGACUUGAGGAAGGUAGGGGAGAAUGGAAUUCCUGGUGGAGCGGUGGAAUGCGCAGAUAUCAGGAGGAACACCAGUGGCGAAGGCGGUUCUCUGGGCCUUUCCUGACGCUGAGGAGCGAAAGCGUGGGGAGCGAACAGGCUUAGAUACCCUGGUAGUCCACGCUGUAAACGGUGGGUACUAGGUGUGGGGUCCAUUCCACGGGUUCCGUGCCGUAGCUAACGCUUUAAGUACCCCGCCUGGGGAGUACGGCCGCAAGGCUAAAACUCAAAGGAAUUGACGGGGCCCCGCACAAGCGGCGGAGCAUGCGGAUUAAUUCGAUGCAACGCGUAGAACCUUACCUGGGUUUGACAUGGAUCGGGAGUGCUCAGAGAUGGGUGUGCCUCUUUUGGGGUCGGUUCACAGGUGGUGCAUGGCUGUCGUCAGCUCGUGUCGUGAGAUGUUGGGUUAAGUCCCGCAACGAGCGCAACCCUUGUUCACUGUUGCCAGCACGUUAUGGUGGGGACUCAGUGGAGACCGCCGGGGUCAACUCGGAGGAAGGUGGGGAUGACGUCAAGUCAUCAUGCCCCUUAUGUCCAGGGCUUCACGCAUGCUACAAUGGCUGGUACAGAGAGUGGCGAGCCUGUGAGGGUGAGCGAAUCUCGGAAAGCCGGUCUCAGUUCGGAUUGGGGUCUGCAACUCGACCUCAUGAAGUCGGAGUCGCUAGUAAUCGCAGAUCAGCAACGCUGCGGUGAAUACGUUCCCGGG
rnacentral:rRNA from 1 species